rnacentral:rRNA from 1 species
AUGAACGCUGGCGGCACGGAUAAGUCAUGCAAGUCGAACGGUGCAAGAUAGCAAUAUUUUGCAUAGUGGCGAACGAGUUAGUAACACCUUGGUAUCUGCCUCAAAGUCAGGCACAACUAGUCGAAAGAUUAGCUAAUUCCCGAUGGUCUCGUAAGAGUAAAGACGUAAGUCGCUUUGAGAGGAGCCUAGGUCCUAUCAGCUUGUUGGCGGGGUAAUGGCCCACCAAGGCUAUGACGGGUAGGGGGUGUGAGAGCACGACCCUCAACGAUGGAACUGAGAACGGUCCAUACACCUACGGGUGGCAGCAGACGAGAAUAUUCGACAAUGGGCGAAAGCCUGAUCGAGCGAUGCCGCGUGCGGGAAGAAGGGCUUCGGCCUGUAAACCGCUUUUGCCAUGGAAAAAUUUUGAUUGUACAUGGAGAAUAAGGGGUUGCUAACCUCGU